AUAAUACAUUAACACCAACUGGCUGAUGAAUUUAAAAAAAAAAGUAAAAAAAAAAAAUCUCAUAAUGUUUGAAGAAAGUUUACAAGUUUGUGUUGUGCCAUAUUCAAAGCUGU